rnacentral:rRNA from 1 species
GACGAACGCUGGCGGCGUGCCUAAUACAUGCAAGUAGAACGCUGAAGGAGGAGCUUGCUUCUCUGGAUGAGUUGCGAACGGGUGAGUAACGCGUAGGUAACCUGCCUGGUAGCGGGGGAUAACUAUUGGGAACGAUAGCUAAUACCGCAUAAGAGUAGAUGUUGCAUGACAUUUGCUUAAAAGGUGCAAUUGCAUCACUACCAGAUGGACCUGCGUUGUAUUAGCUAGUUGGUGAGGUAACGGCUCACCAAGGCAACGAUACAUAGCCGACCUGAGAGGGUGAUCGGCCACACUGGGACUGAGACACGGCCCAGACUCCUACGGGAGGCAGCAGUAGGGAAUCUUCGGCAAUGGACGGAAGUCUGACCGAGCAACGCCGCGUGAGUGAAGAAGGUUUUCGGAUCGUAAAAGCUCUGUUGUAAAGAGAAAGAAACGAAGUGUGAAGAAG